rnacentral:rRNA from 1 species
CCCUUAGAUGUUCUGGGCCGCACGCGUGCUACACUGAUGCAUUCAACGGGUCUAAAACCUGGUCUGAUAGGGCUGGGUAAUCUUUUGAAAGUGCAUCGUGAUUGGGAUAGAUGAUUGCAAUUCUUCAUCUUCAACGAGGAAUGCCUAGUAAACGCAAGUCAUCAGCUUGCAUUGAUUACGUCCCUGCCCUUUGUACACACCGCCCGUCGCUCCUACCGAUUGAAUGAUCCGAUGAAUACCAUGGAUUGAGAGUACGAAUAGGUUCGCUUAUUUCUGCUGCUCGAGAAGUGGAGUAAAUCUUAUCAUUUAGAGGAAGGAGAAGUCGUAACA